AGGGGUGUAGCUCAGUGGUAGAGCUCUUGUCUAGAAUGUAUGAGGCUCUUGGUUCAAUCCUCAGCCCUG
rnacentral:tRNA from 1 species